rnacentral:rRNA from 1 species
UACGUAGGGUGCAAGCGUUAAUCGAAAUUACUGGGCGUAAAGCGUGCGCAGGCGGUGAUGUAAGACAGAUGUGAAAUCCCCGGGCUCAACCUGGGAACUGCAUUUGUGACUGCAUCGCUGGAGUGCGGCAGAGGGGGAUGGAAUUCCGCGUGUAGCAGUGAAAUGCGUAGAUAUGCGGAGGAACGCCGAUGGCGAAGGCAAUCCCCUGGGCCUGCACUGACGCUCAUGCACGAAAGCGUGGGGAGCAAACAGG